rnacentral:tRNA from 1 species
GGGGCAUUAGCUCAGUUGGUAGAGCGCUGCCUUUGCAAGGCAGAUGUCAGGAGUUCGAAUCUCCUAUGCUCCA